rnacentral:rRNA from 1 species
CCUACGGGAGGCAGCAGUGGGGAAUAUUGGACAAUGGGCGAAAGCCUGAUCCAGCAAUGCCGCGUGAGUGAUGAAGGCCUUAGGGUUGUAAAGCUCUUUUACCAGGGAUGAUAAUGACAGUACCUGGAGAAUAAGCUCCGGCUAACUCCGUGCCAGCAGCCGCGGUAAUACGGAGGGAGCUAGCGUUGUUCGGAAUUACUGGGCGUAAAGCGUACGUAGGCGGUUAUUCAAGUCAGAGGUGAAAGCCUGGAGCUCAACUCCAGAACUGCCUUUGAAACUAGAUAGCUAGAAUCUUGGAGAGGUGAGUGGAAUUCCGAGUGUAGAGGUGAAAUUCGUAGAUAUUCGGAAGAACACCAGUGGCGAAGGCGACUCACUGGACAAGUAUUGACGCUGAGGUACGAAAGCGUGGGGAGCAAACAGGAUUAGAUACCCUGGUAGUCCACGCCGUAAACGAUGAUAACUAGCUGUUCGGGCUCUACGAGCUUGUAGUGGCGCAGCUACGACAUUAAGUUAUCCGCAGUGGGUAGGUACGGUCGGCGAAGAAGUUAAACUAACGAAAGAAGUUAGUACGGCGUGAGACGUGCCGACGGACGACGACGAGGGAGGAGG